GACGAACGCUGGCGGCGUGCUUAACACAUGCAAGUCGAACGAAGAGCGAUGGAUGCUUGCUUCUAUCAAUCUUAGUGGCGAACGGGUGAGUAACGCGUAAUCAACCUGCCCUUCAGAGGGGGACAACAGUUGGAAACGACUGCUAAUACCGCAUACGAUCUAACCUCGGCAUCGAGGAUAGAUGAAAGGUGGCCUCUACAUGUAAGCUAUCACUGAAGGAGGGGAUUGCGUCUGAUUAGCUAGUUGGAGGGGUAACGGCCCACCAAGGCGAUGAUCAGUAGCCGGUCUGAGAGGAGGACCGGCCACAUUGGGACUGAGACACGGCCCAGACUCCUACGGGAGGCAGCAGUGGGGAAUUUUCGACAAUGGGGGAAAGCCUGAGGGAGCAACGCCGCGUGGGGGAAGACGGCCUUGGGGUUGUAAAGCUCUUUUAUUAGGGAAGAAAGGCUUUUUGGGAAAAAGUGGGAGGGAUGAAGGUAACGGAAAAAAAAGCCCCGGCUAACUAAGGG
rnacentral:rRNA from 1 species